CCAGCACCCAGCGUGCACGGGACGGCCCCACGACAGAGGAACCAGCCGCGGAGGUCAGCGAGCGCGCGGGAGGGCCUGUGGUGGACCACCUCCACCAAGCUCAGAGAUUUGCAGCCAGGUGCUUGUUGGCCUGCCUGCUCAGGAUGAAAGAGGAGCUGAGAGAAGUGCUCUGCCUGCAGUGCAGUGCCCAGCUCCAAGGCUCUAGAGGGUGUUCAGGUACACUGAGGAGGGGACGGCUCCGUCUUCACAUUGUGCACAGAUCUGAGGAUGGGAUUAGCGAAGCUGUGGAGACUGCACAUCCGGACCUGCCCAUGUCUCAAAACAAACACAUGUACAGUGGCUCUUUUUCCUUCUCAAACACUUUACCCCAGAAGCAGGUGGUCUGCCCCAGGCAUAAAGAAGGAAAAUUGGCCAUCUUUCCCACCUCUAAAUUCUGUAAAAUUAUAGACUUGCUCAAAAGAUUCCUUUUUAUCAUCCCCACACUGUGUAAGUGGAAAGGGCAUUGUGUUCCGUGUGUGUCCAGUUUACAGCGUCUCUGCCCCCUAGCGUGUUUUGUGACAAUCUCCCUGGGUGAGGAGUGGGUGCACCCAGCCCUGAGGCCAGUGGUUGCUCGGGGCCUUCCGUGUGUGUCCAGUUUACAGCGGUCUCUGCCCCCUAGCGUGUUUUGUGACAAUCUCCCUGGGUGAGGAGUGGGGCACCCAGCCCUGAGGCCAGUGGUUGCUCGGGGCCUUCCGUGUGAGUUCUUAGUUCACUUGAUCGGGGAAUAGAAUUAGAGAAAACUGCUGACCUGCCGGUUCCAGGGACUGGUGGAGGUGGAUGGCAGGUCCGACUCGACCGUGACUUAGUUGUAAGGGUGUGUCGGCUUUUCAGCUCUCGUUGAAAUCCUCCUGUCUCUGGCAGCACCGUCUGCACUCUUGUUUACUGUUUGAAGGACGAGUACCAAGCCACAAGAACACUUCUUUGGCCACAGCAUAAGCUGAUGGUAUGUAAGGAACCGAUGCGGCCAUUAAACAUGAACUGAACGGUAAAAGCACAGUCUAUGGAAUGCUAAUGGAGUCAGCCCUUAAGCUGUUUGUUUCAGGCUUUGGAUUACAUGCUUUUAUUUGAUUUUAGAAUCUGGACACUUUCUAUGAAUGUAAUUCGGCUGAGAAAACAUGUUGCUAAGAUGCAAUCCUCAGUGUUCUCUGUAUGUAAAUCUGUGUAUACACCACACGUUACAACUGCAUGAGCUUCCUCUCGCCACAAGACCAGCUGAACUGAGCAUGAGACGCUGUCAAAUACAGACAAAGGAUUUGAGAUGUUCUCAAUAAAAAGAAAAUGUUUCACUACUCUGGUGUUGCUGAGACUUUCUUUUCCUUUCAAAUUAUUUCUGCCUGGCUCACUCAGCAGCCUGGGAUGGAC
rnacentral:lncRNA from 1 species